UGGCCGAGACGAGCAAGGGCGGGGCGAAAUGGGAGCGCUAUAAAGAGGCGCGAGGCGGCAGCUCGGCCUUUCCGUCGGCGCAGCGAGCGGAGGGGCCGAACGACGAGCGGCGCGGUCAAUAAAGCUGUGCGAUCCCA